CUGCCACUGUUGAUGACCACUCUAGUUCCAUCGCACUACGAGGAUGAUCCAUGGCUGGUCGCGGACGAUCACCUGCGAGGACGAUUCAUGGCCGGUUGGGGAUGUUCAGUUCCAUCACACUGCGAGGAGAUGAUUCAUGGCCGGUCGGGGAUGGUCACCUGCGCCCGAAGGCCAACCUUAAUACUGGACCUCGAGAGGGGCAUCUGGCCAACCAUGCCGGAGGAUGCAGAGGAGUUGUUUGGGAAUGUUAUCAUCAGAGGACCCAAGAAGUAGCCCACCAAGGAUGCAUGGAUCAACCACGCAAGUCCAUUCUUGCAAUCCAUCUGUGGCAAGGGUUCAUGACAGACAAGCCAAUAGAUUUGGGGGUCCACUUCCCGGUGAAACAAAUGUUCAUUGCGGACAAUACGAAGACGACGAUUGGUACAA